CACGUGUAGCAGUGAAAUGCGUAGAGAUGUGGAGGAAUACCGAUGGCGAAGGCAGCCCCCUGGGAUAGCACUGACGUUCAUGCCCGAAAGCGUGGGUAGCAAACAGGAUUAGAUACCCUGGUAGUCCACGCCCUAAACGAUGUCGAUUAGCUGUUGGGCAACUUGAUUGCUUGGUAGCGAAGCUAACGCGUGAAAUCGACCGCCUGGGGAGUACGGUCGCAAGAUUAAAACUCAAAGGAAUUGACGGGGACCCGCACAAGCGGUGGAUGAUGUGGAUUAAUUCGAUGCAACGCGAAGAACCUUACCUGGUCUUGACAUGUACGGAACCUUCCAGAGACGGAAGGGUGCCUUCGGGAGCCGUAACACAGGUGCUGCAUGGCUGUCGUCAGCUCGUGUCGUGAGAUGUUGGGUUAAGUCCCGCAACGAGCGCAACCCUUGUCAUUAGUUGCCAUCAUUUGGUUGGGCACUCUAAUGAGACUGCCGGUGACAAGCCGGAGGAAGGUGGGGAUGACGUCAAGUCCUCGUGGCCCUUAUGACCAGGGCUUCACACGUCAUACAAUGGUCGGUACAGAGGGUAGCCAAGCCGCGAGGUGGAGCCAAUCCCAAAAAACCGAUCGUAGUCCGGAUUGCACUCUGCAACUCGAGUGCAUGAAGUCGGAAUCGCUAGUAAUCGCAGGUCAGCAUACUGCGGUGAAUACGUUCCCGGGUCUUGUACACACCGCCCGUCACACCAUGGGAGUGGGGGAUACCAGAAGCAGGUAGGCUAACCGCAAGGGGGCCGCU
rnacentral:rRNA from 1 species